UUGCCUUACUAUGUCUGUUUUUAACCUUUAGCACAUCCCUGUGCGAACCGAAUACCUCAAAUGAAUUCACGAAAGAAAACCUUUCCCAGAAGGAGUCUGAGUCACUACGUGGUAAAGGAUCUGCCAGUGAACUGUGAGAUAUACACUAAUAUGUUAACAAAAUGCAUUAGCAAUGAAUAAUGGAAAAUAUACGGAUAUAAACAUG